GACGAACGCUGGCGGCGUGCUUAACACAUGCAAGUCGAACGGAAAGGCCCUGCUUUCGUGGGGUGCUCGAGUGGCGAACGGGUGAGUAACACGUGAGUAACCUGCCCUUGACUUUGGGAUAACUUCAGGAAACUGGGGCUAAUACCGGAUAGGAGCUCCCGCUGCAUGGUGGGGGGUGGAAAGUUUCUGCGGUUGGGGAUGGACGGGCGGCUUAUCAGCUUGUUGGUGGGGGAGUGGCUUACCAAGGCUUUGACGGGUAGCCGGCCUGAGAGGGUGACCGGCGACAUUGGUACUGCGAUACGCACCAGACUCCUACGGGAGACAGCAGUGGGGAGUAUUGCACAAUGAGCGGAAGCCUGAUGCAGAAACGCCGCGUGCGGGAUGACGGCCUGCGGGUUGUAAACCGCUUUCGCCUGUGACGCAGCGUGAGUGACGGUAAUGGGUAAAGAAGCACCGGCUAACUACGUG
rnacentral:rRNA from 1 species